rnacentral:misc_RNA from 1 species
CUUCUUUUACCGUGUUUCCCGGCAUCCUUUGCUGAGAAGGAAGCCCUUUACUGCCGCUUUGUUCUUGCUUCUUCCUGGUUUGUUGUUCUCUUUUCUACUCAAUGAUUCUUAUUUUGCUUCUGUCCUCACCCUCUCUUCCCGUCUCUUUCUUCUAUUCAAACCCAGAUCGCACUCAGAGAGUAUGGAAGAAAGAGGCUAGAUUUCUGUUCAUCGUUGCGCCGCAAACCCACGUCACAUGCGAGGCUUCGAG